GAGGCGCGGGGCCAGCCCGGCCACGUCGGCCCAAAAUCGAUGGGCCGUACGAUGUCCGUCGUGCGGUCUGCGGCUACUGUGAUUUCCGCCGCUCGGCUGAAGCCGUCCCGCCGCCCACGCAGCUGCCUGCCUGGCUUCUUCGCCGACGUGUCCCCAGCGUGCCGUGCCAUGCCUUGCCGCUGCUAUGCCGCCGCCGCUGCGUCCCUCUUUGCAGCGGCCGCUCGCUUCCCUCGCCGACGCGUGCGCCGCCUUCCGAAUGCCGUGUGGCCAGGCCUGCGCGUGGCCCAACGUUCCGAGCCUCCUCGCUUCCCCCGCGUCACGACGCCGCCGUGGAGAUGCCCCGCCAGUCACACCGCCGCAGCCCAGCCCUCCCUCCGCGCCGCCGGCGGCCCUCCGUCCCGCCCCACCGCUGCCGCCUAGCGCUGCCGCCGGCCGUUCCGGUCUUCCACGCAUUAGCAACCCGGCCAGCCGCACCACCGCGGGCCGGCCCUCCAUCCGAGCCGCCGCGGUCCGGUGAUCCGGUCCCACCAUCCCCGCCGCUGCCGCUGCGUGCUGCCGAUGGGAAGCCCUCGCCCCAUCCGCUCCGUCACAUCUUGCUCCCUUCUCCUUGUGACUUCGCCGUCAACCCUCGCCCCAUCGCUCCGUCACAUCUUUCUCCCUUCUCCUCGUGACUUCGCCGUUGCCACAUUUGAUGGAUUCAUUCAUAGAUCCCUGGCUCCCAGCUCCCUGAAAAUGAGAAAUUACCAUCUCCCUCAUAAUGGGAAAUUUGGUUGAUGUACGGUUCAAUUCUGUGAGUCUGUAGUCCGUUUUGAUGGAGAGUGGUUCGAUUCGAUGAGUGAAGUGCUUAAUUUGAUGGUAAGAAAGCUGAUUCAAAUGCGUACUGUGGGGGCCUGGGCCUAGUGGCCGGUUUCCCUGAGAAGAAUUCCGGCAGGUUCACCGGUCCAUUGCUUAUUGAGAUUCAAUUAAUUAUCCUUGGCUAAUUUGAUUUGAUUUCAAUCAAUGAGUCCAGAAAGGAUCAGCUGGACUCCCUGCUCGACAUUGGUGCUGAUGAUUUAGAGUUGGGGAACAACAUCGAAGUCUUAAGGGAUUUCCCGUCUGGGGAUAAACUGCAUGACAGGGUGCACGUUCAUCAGCUGCAACAGUUGCUGCCCGUGAAGAGCAAUCUACAAGCACCCUUGGCCUUCCUGUUGUAGCAUCUGGCUGCGCACGAUGCUGAGUUGCUGAAGACACCAUUGAGGACCUUCCUGAAAUCAGAAUACAUUGAGUUUCUGUUUUCAGCUUACCUACUAUCGCAGGGGCGAUCAAUCAUCAAUGGUGCAUGGUCAGUUAAUCUUGAUUUCUUGGUGUUAUGCUUCCUAUUCACAUUGAAAACAUCAUACAUAGAUAUUUGAACACAUCUAAGUAAGUUGCAGUUUGAUCACCUAGAUUCAGAAUCAUGGAUACAUUUUUAAAAAAACUCUCCAGUCCAAUAUGCAGAGUUCAAUGCUCUGUAUUACGUUGGUAUUGCCUCACAAAUCAUGGAAUCGAGAAAGAAAUAUGAUUAAUCGUCCUACAUGCUGCUCUUUUUCAUGGUAGUUAGCACUACACGGGCUUACUUCUCCAAUAGAUGCAUUGACAGUUUGCUGAAUAUUAAAACAAGCCCAGAUAUUGGACAAUGCAGAUAUCUGCAAAAUUUACAUCAACUACUAUAUAUUCUGCUAACCUUGAUAUCCUUCUUGCAGGUUGUUCUUCACCUGAUAGAAAGAUGCCUAAAGUAUCUUUUGCAAUGGCUGUUUCUUUGCUACUAUUGAGUUCAUGUUUCUUUGUUGAAUGCUGAUUGUGUGAACCUAAGUGACUGGUAUCUGAAUAGCCUGACUGUAGAAAGAAUAAUUGUUUUGCUACUAAAAGUCCAGAACUAUCUACUUUCUUACUUCCAUCUAGCUAUCCACAAUUUGUUUGCAUGUACGAUUUGCGUUUUUCCAAUCAAAGUUGAUCUAUUAAUUAGCCAUACAAGAAGAAAUAAUAUCUAAAGGUAUUCUCUUGUUGGACCCUGUCCCAGCACACACAGAGUUAAAAGUCUAAAUGUACCUAUAUGUUUCCUGCUCUGCACAGAUCAAACAGUUUCCUGCACCUCUACGCAUACCAUCUUCAAUGAGAAUUACAUGUUUAUAUAUAUGUAUGUCAGUGUUCAUUAUCUGCAUUAGUAAUUUGAGUAUGUCCUUCCUUUUGUUCUCACAGGUUCUACAGAAUCACUGAAGACUCAAGAGGAACCACUACGCGCGCAACAUUCGUGGCAGGCUGAGGCGCCGGGCAGCCCGGCCACGUCAUCUGCAAAUCCCUGCCCUUGCCAUGCGUGAUUGGGUUUUUUCCCUCGCGAUUUCCCCUAUACUUUUGUUGGAUCCUGCUGAGGUUCUGUGUGUAUAAAAAAUAAUCAUGUACUGUAUGCUCCUCUUAAUGAAGGCACUCUGUGCUCUUGAAAUCAGAGUAUCCAGUUCAGCGGAAAGUCUUGUUGCUAACAUCUUAGAAUUGAGUUUCGCAGCACUAUGCGACAAACUUAUGGGCAUGUAGUUUCCCACC